AUUGAACGCUGGCGGCAGGCCUAACACAUGCAAGUCGAACGAGUGGCGGACGGGUGAGUAAUGUCUGGGAAACUGCCUGAUGGAGGGGGAUAACUACUGGAAACGGUAGCUAAUACCGCAUACCAUCGGAUGUGCCCAUAUGGGAUUAGCUAGUAGGUGGGGUAAUGGCUCACCUAGGCUACGAUCCCGAGCUGGUCUGAGAGGAGGACCAGCCAUACUGGAACUGAGACACGGUCCAGACUCCAACGUGAGGCAGCAGUGGGGAAUAUUGCACAAUGGGCGAAAGCCUGAUCAAGCCAUGCCGCUUGUGUGAAGAAGGUCUUCGGAUUGGAAAGCACUUUAAGUUGGGAGGCGUUACCAACAGAAUAAGCACCGGCUAACUUCGUGCCAGCAGCCGCGGUAAUUC
rnacentral:rRNA from 1 species